GACGUAGGGCGCGAGCGUUGUCCGGAUUUAUUGGGCGUAAAGAGCUCGUAGGCGGCUUGUCACGUCGACCGUGAAAACUCGCAGCUCAACUGCGAGCCUGCGGUCGAUACGGGCAGGCUAGAGUUCGGUAGGGGAGACUGGAAUUCCUGGUGUAGCGGUGAAAUGCGCAGAUAGUCAGGAGGAACACCGGUGGCGGAAGGCGGGUCUGCUGGGCCGAUACUGACGCUGAAGGAGCGGAAAGCGUGGGGAGCGAACAGG
rnacentral:rRNA from 1 species